rnacentral:rRNA from 1 species
AACGAACGCUGGCGGCAGGCUUAACGCAUGCAAGUCGAACGCAUCCUUCGGGGUGAGUGGCAGACGGGCGAGUAACGCGUGGGAACGUGCCCUUCAGUUCGGGAUAACCCAGGGAAACUUGGGCUAAUACCGGAUACGUGCGAGAGCAGAAAGAUUUAUCGCUGAAGGAUCGGCCGCGUCUGAUUAGCUAGUUGGUGGGGUAAUGGCCCACCAAGGCGACGAUCAGUAGCUGGUCUGAGAGGAUGAUCAGCCACAUUGGGACUGAGACACGGCCCAAACUCCUACGGGAGGCAGCAGUGGGGAAUAUUGGACAAUGGGCGCAAGCCUGAUCCAGCCAUGCCGCGUGAGUGAUGAAGGCCUUAGGGUUGUAAAGCUCUUUCGUCUGGGACGAUAAUGACGGUACCGGAAGAAGAAGCCCCGGCUAACUUCGUGCCAGCCGCCGCGGUAA